rnacentral:rRNA from 1 species
UACGUAGGGUGCGAGCGUUAUCCGGAAUUAUUGGGCGUAAAGAGCUCGUAGGCGGUUUGUCGCGUCUGCCGUGAAAGUCCGGGGCUUAACUCCGGAUCUGCGGUGGGUACGGGCAGACUAGAGUGAUGUAGGGGAGACUGGAAUUCCUGGUGUAGCGGUGAAAUGCGCAGAUAUCAGGAGGAACACCGAUGGCGAAGGCAGGUCUCUGGGCAUUAACUGACGCUGAGGAGCGAAAGCAUGGGGAGCGAACAGG